CUUUCUUGCUGACGAGUGGCGGACGGGUGAGUAAUGCUUGGGAAUCUGGCCUAUGGAGGGGGGAUAACGACGGGAAACUGUCGCUAAUACCGCGUAUUAUCGGAAGAUGAAAGUGCGGGACUGAGAGGCCGCAUGCCAUAGGAUGAGCCCAAGUGGGAUUAGGUAGUUGGUGGGGUAAAGGCCUACCAAGCCUGCGAUCUCUAGCUGGUCUGAGAGGAUGACCAGCCACACUGGAACUGAGACACGGUCCAGACUCCUACGGGAGGCAGCAGUGGGGAAUAUUGCGCAAUGGGGGGAACCCUGACGCAGCCAUGCCGCGUGAAUGAAGAAGGCCUUAGGGUUGUAAAGUUCUUUCGGUAUUGAGGAAGGUUGAUGUGUUAAUAGCACAUCAAAUUGACGUUAAAUACAGAAGAAGCACCGGCUAACUCCGUGCCAGCAGCCGCGGUAAUACGGAGGGUGCGAGCGUUAAUCGGAAUAACUGGGCGUAAAGGGCACGCAGGCGGUUAUUUAAGUGAGGUGUGAAAGCCCCGGGCUUAACCUGGGAAUUGCAUUUCAGACUGGGUAACUAGAGUACUUUAGGGAGGGGUAGAAUUCCACGUGUAGCGGUGAAAUGCGUAGAGAUGUGGAGGAAUACCGAAGGCGAAGGCAGCCCCUUGGGAAUGUACUGACGCUCAUGUGCGAAAGCGUGGGGAGCAAACAGGAUUAGAUACCCUGGUAGUCCACGCUGUAAACGCUGUCGAUUUGGGGGUUGGGGUUUAACUC
rnacentral:rRNA from 1 species